AACAAAGAUAUAUAUAUACAUAUAUAUAUAUAUAUAUUUACACACACAAUUUAAAUAUAUUAAAUUGCAAUGUGAUAUUCAUUAGAUAUGAUACAUGUCAUAGUUAGA